GAUGAACGCUGGCGGCGUGCCUAAUACAUGCAAGUCGAGCGAACAGACGAGGAGCUUGCUCCUUUGACGUUAGCGGCGGACGGGUGAGUAACACGUAGGUAACCUACCUAUAAGACUGGGAUAACUUCGGGAAACCGGAGCUAAUACCGGAUAAUAUUCCGAACCACAUGGUUCGAUAGUGAAAGAUGGCUUUGCUAUCACUUAUAGAUGGACCUGCGCCGUAUUAGCUAGUUGGUAAGGUAACGGCUUACCAAGGCAACGAUACGUAGCCGACUUGAGAGGAUGAUCGGCCGCACUGGAACAGAUACACGGUCCAGACUCCUACGGGAGGCAGCAGUAGCAAAUCUUCCGGAAUGAGCGAAAGCCUGGCGGAGCAACGCCGCGUGAGUGAUGAAGGUCUUCGGAUCGUAAAACUCAGUUAUUGGGGAAGAGCAGACGUGUAAGUAACUAUGCACGUCUUGACGGUACCUAAUCAGAAAGCCACGGCUAACUACGUG
rnacentral:rRNA from 1 species